GGCUCUGUGGCGCAAUGGAUAGCGCAUUGGACUUCUAGAGUUUGAAUGAAGAUAUUCAAAGGUUGUGGGUUCGAGUCCCACCAGAGUCG